rnacentral:rRNA from 1 species
UAUGUAGGGUGCGAGCGUUAAUCGGAAUUACUGGGCGUAAAGCGUGCGCAGGCGGUUCGUUGUGUCGGCGGUGAAAGCCCCGGGCUCAACCUGGGAAUGGCCGUUGAAACUGGCGAACUGGAGUGUGGCAGAGGGGGGUGGAAUUCCGCGUGUAGCAGUGAAAUGCGUAGAGAUGCGGAGGAACACCGAUGGCGAAGGCAGCCCCCUGGGCUGACACUGACGCUCAGGCACGAAAGCGUGGGGAGCAAACAGG